rnacentral:rRNA from 1 species
UACGGAGGGUGCAAGCGUUAUCCGGAUUUACUGGGUUUAAAGGGUGCGUAGGUGGGUCUGUAAGUCAGUGGUGAAAUCUCCGAGCUUAACUCGGAAACUGCCAUUGAUACUAUAGGUCUUGAAUUAUCUGGAGGUAAGCGGAAUAUGUCAUGUAGCGGUGAAAUGCUUAGAUAUGACAUAGAACACCAAUUGCGAAGGCAGCUUACUACAGGGACAUUGACACUGAGGCACGAAAGCGUGGGGAUCAAACAGG